rnacentral:lncRNA from 1 species
AUGCUCAGUGCUUCAGCUUUAACUAGCUCAGAGUCAGGGUUGCCAGGUAUUCACAACAUAACCCUCCCAAUCGCGUUUCGAGGGUCUCCCGUUAAAAAUCGCGUUCCGGGGAUAAAAAGCACGUGUUUUGGCGGGGUUCCGCUGCUUACAGAAUUCAUGUCAACCAGAGUACUGUUGAUGUCCUGAAGAGCCUCAAACUUGGCUACAAAAUAGAUGGUAGGGGCAAGACAGAGCUCAAGGUACGCAGACAUACACACACUGAUAGGUGUUUCUACAGUUCAGGCACUGUUAUGACUAUACAUGCACAACUAUUGUCUAAACAGAUAAUCAUAAAUAGUAAAAUAAUUAUAAACCAAUUCAAUAUUAGCUUUGAUGUGAUUGUGAUGAUUAUAUAGUAGAUACAUAUUUCCAGAACUGCAUCUGUCCCAAAAUUCUGGUGCAAUUUCCAGAACAAUGUUGUCCCUAAUAUAUUUUUAUCAAAAGUAGAUCUGGUUUAUCACAAAGACAAUAGUGAAGACCACACUUGAGAUGAAACAUGAGACAUGUUGUGUGUUGAAUGCUAGCCAUAAAAUGAACAAAAGAAAUAAAAAAAUAAAUAAAAAAAUCCCAAAAAUUUCAUGUUCUAAAUUUUCAUCACAAUAAUUUUCACCACAGAAUAUUAUUACAGGCAAUUCAUUUAAUGGAAAUUACACUAUGGAAGAAAGGUUUAGGACUUUAAGGAAAAAAAUUGAAUACAAAAAUAACAGAAUUGUUCUGUUGCACAUAUGUCCACCGUUAAUAAAUAAAUAAAAUUAAAUAGUGUGAAGGUGAAAAUGUUUUGGCAUUUGCCAAAAAACCUCCUGGGAUCACACACAACACUAUUCAGUAUUGAGCUUAAUGCCUCUAAAAUGUCUUGAAGAAUAUAAUAUGAGCUCCUGUCACUCUCUAACAGGGUAAAGGUGUAGAGGAAACAUUCUGGUUGGUUGGGAGAGAUGGAUUCAACAAGCCAUUACCUGUACCGCCAGACCUUACUCCUGGGUAAGAAAGAAACCAGUUCUAUCUGCAUGUACAUCACUAUAUGAUGUCUAUAAUGUAGACAAUUGAUCAUUUUCUUUAUGUU